CCUACGGGGGGCAGCAGUGGGGAAUAUUGCACAAUGGGGGAAACCCUGAUGCAGCGACGCCGCGUGAGUGAAGAAGUAUUUCGGUAUGUAAAGCUCUGUCAGCAGGGAAGAAAAUGACGGUACCUGACCAAGAAGCCCCGGCUAACUACGUGCCAGCAGCCGCGGUAAUACGUAGGGGGCAAGCGUUAUCCGGAUUUACUGGGUGUAAAGGGAGCGUAGACGGCAGGGCAAGUCUGGAGUGAAAGGCGGGGGCCCAACCCCCGGACUGCUGUGGAAACUGCCAGGCUGGAGUGCAGGAGAGGUAAGUGGAAUUCCUGGUGUAGCGGUGAAAUGCGUAGAUAUUAGGAGGAACACCAGUGGCGAAGGCGGCUUACUGGACUGUAACUGACGUUGAGGCUCGAAAGCGUGGGGAGCAAACAGGAUUAGAUACCCGAGUAGUC
rnacentral:rRNA from 1 species